rnacentral:rRNA from 1 species
UUGCCUACCGAACCCCUCGCAUCGACUCUAAAUAUAUGCGCGGCUGGCACCUUUAGGUGCGAGCGACACCGUUCAAGUGCUGAGAGGGUUUCGGGCUGUGGGCCCGAUCCGACCAGCAGCCGGCUUUCACAGUUGGUUCACAGAUCAAUCGACGGUGGCCUUGUGGCUAAAAUAUGACCGGUCCUCGGCCUUUGGCCCUGGAUUUUGCGGAACCUGCGGAAGGAUCAUUA